GUAGGUGGCAAGCGUUGUCCGGAAUUAUUGGGCGUAAAGCGCGCGCAGGCGGUUCUUUAAGUCUGAUGUGAAAGCCCACGGCUCAACCGUGGAGGGUCAUUGGAAACUGGAGAACUUGAGUACAGAAGAGGAAAGCGGAAUUCCACGUGUAGCGGUGAAAUGCGUAGAGAUGUGGAGGAACACCAGUGGCGAAGGCUGCUUUCUGGUCUGUAACUGACGCUGAGGCGCGAAAGCGUGGGGGGAGCAAACAGGAUUAGAUACCCUGGUAGUCCACGCCGUAAACGAUGAGUGCUAAGUGUUAGGGGGUUUCCGCCCCUUAGUGCUGCAGCUAACGCAUUAAGCACUCCGCCUGGGAGUACGGCCGCAAGGCUG
rnacentral:rRNA from 1 species